CUCUUUUUUUUUUUUUUUUUUCCUAAGAGGAAGUGGGGUAUAGCCAUGUAACUGUUGGGAUACUUGGGGUGAAUUUUUCUCUUCAAUAUAUAAUAUGAAAUAUCUGCUCUUGAUUCUUUUCAAUAGCUUACAGUAUUGUGCCACAGUCCAGAGUUUGCUGUCAAGUGGUUGAAAGAUAAAGUUGAAAGAAAUACAGCAUAUUAGCAUCUAUCCUUUUGUAAACAUGAAAAGCUUAAAAAUCAUGCAUGAUUCCAUCUUACUUAUACGCUUAGAUCAAAAUCCUAAACAUUUGAUAGAAUAAGCUUUGUAUGAAUCCUCUGACUCAUAAGCUUUGGAUUCAUUUAUUUCAAAUACAGAAAAACAAGGUAAUGGGCAAUGGAGCCUCUCAAAAAACCAUGAGGCAUCCAUUUGCACCAUUAGAGAAAGACAAAAACUCGAUAAGAGACUAGGAAAAAAAGGGCCUCUCAAUCUUGUGACUCCUCAACCAAGAGACUAAACAGAGAAAAUUUCUCCAUCUACAAAAAGAAACCCCAGGCCCAAUUGGGAUAUACACAAGGUCCAUAACCAAAGCAUGGGGGCACCUGUGGAUAGCAAUGGGUCAUGGCAUUGCCUGGGCGGGGAUGGGUAGUAGUCAUUCCCAUAAGGACUGAUUUUGAACCUCUGCAGAGUUCUGUAUAUUAUCCGGCUUUUGUAUUCUUCCUCAGGAGUUUGUUUGAAUUCACUCUGCCUAUAAUACAUGCCAUUCUUUCUUCAGCGUGUAACUUACCCCUAAACAUAAACAUGGAAAGAAAAAAAAAAAUUGUU
rnacentral:misc_RNA from 1 species